rnacentral:rRNA from 1 species
UACGUAGGUGGCAAGCGUUUGUCCGGAAUUAUUGGGCGUAAAGCGCGCGCAGGCGGUCUCUUAAGUCUGAUGUGAAAGCCCCCGGCUCAACCGGGGAGGGUCAUUGGAAACUGGGAGACUUGAGUGCAGAAGAGAAGAGUGGAAUUCCACGUGUAGCGGUGAAAUGCGUAGAGAGUGUGGAGGAACACCAGUGGCGAAGGCGACUCUUUGGUCUGUAA